rnacentral:rRNA from 1 species
GAACGGUAGCACAGAGAGCUUGCUCUCGGGUGACGAGUGGCGGACGGGUGAGUAAUGUCUGGGAAACUGCCUGAUGGAGGGGGAUAACUACUGGAAACGGUAGCUAAUACCGCAUAACGUCGCAAGACCAAAGUGGGGGACCUUCGGGCCUCAUGCCAUCAGAUGUGCCCAGAUGGGAUUAGCUAGUAGGUGGGGUAACGGCUCACCUAGGCGACGAUCCCUAGCUGGUCUGAGAGGAUGACCAGCCACACUGGAACUGAGACACGGUCCAGACUCCUACGGGAGGCAGCAGUGGGGAAUAUUGCACAAUGGGCGCAAGCCUGAUGCAGCCAUGCCGCGUGUAUGAAGAAGGCCUUCGGGUUGUAAAGUACUUUCAGCGAGGAGGAAGGCGUUGAGGUUAAUAACCUCAUCGAUUGACGUUACUCGCAGAAGAAGCACCGGCUAACUCCGUGCCAGCAGCCGCGGUAAUACGGAGGGUGCAAGCGUUAAUCGGAAUUACUGGGCGUAAAGCGCACGCAGGCGGUCUGUUAAGUCAGAUGUGAAAUCCCCGGGCUCAACCUGGGAACUGCAUUUGAAACUGGCAGGCUUGAGUCUUGUAGAGGGGGGUAGAAUUCCAGGUGUAGCGGUGAAAUGCGUAGAGAUCUGGAGGAAUACCGGUGGCGAAGGCGGCCCCCUGGACAAAGACUGACGCUCAGGUGCGAAAGCGUGGGGAGCAAAC